GGAGAGAUGUCCGAGUUGGCCGAAGGAACACGACUGGAAAUCGUGUGUGCUGCUAAUACCGGCACCGUGGGUUCGAAUCCCACUCUCUCCGCCA
rnacentral:tRNA from 1 species